ensembl:lncRNA
UACAGUUGUUUGAACUGAUGAUCUUUGGAUCUGCAGUUGUUUAGGAAUGACAAGAAACAUUCCCAACUUGUGUACAUCUGCAAUACGCACAGUUGAUCCCAGUGUAUGAAUUUAUUUGGAUUUAUACUGGAUAAGGCUGAUACUGUGUGACAUUUAAGGACUGUCAGUGUUCACAGAGGAAAUAAUUCACACAGAGGUGUGUAACUAAAGUCAAUCCUGUCAUCCUGUUUCAGAUCUACUUUGAUUUAGUGUCACUGCUCCACUGAAUGAGUCGCUGAGCUUCAGCUGACAUUUAACCUGUGAGACUGACUGAUAGACGUGGUACUGGACAAUCCUUGUACUGGAUUGUUAGCAUUAGGGUUGAGGUCUAUGCGCAUUCCUGCAAGUCUGUAUUUAUAUAACAGGUAAUGAGAUCCUAACGCAGGACUGUGUGUGCUGUAGUUUAGCUUUGGUUUUCCUCUUUGCUGCCUUUCAAAUUCAUUCCUAAACAAUAUUUCUUACAACUGGCUACGUUUAACCUUCAUACAGUGACCAGUCAUGGGAAAACCUUAACAGUGUGGGAGCUCAGAUUACGUCUGCCGUGUUUCAUGAGGCAGAGCUGGUUGUCUGCAGAGCACAAGGUGUUUGGCUUUCUUAAUUCAGUGUAAUUGAUUGGCAAAGAAUACCACAUUGAUUCAGUCACUCAGCCUGCCUGUGUCUGACACAGGAGUAAUAGCCACUCGACAUUUUCAUCUGCCAAAAUAAUGCCUUUUUUUUUCAGAGUCAGGUUGAACCCUUUAUCAUAUUGAAGAAGGUGGAGGUAGCAGCAGGGCAGAGAGGGAGAGGAGGCACGGGAACAGCUAAUGAGGUCAAAGAGUUCAAAUGCUGGGUCACGCAAACACUGUUGAGCAGGUUAAAGGAGCUGUCCACAGAAGUGUGUGGCACCUUUUUCUUCUGUCAUGUGACAUCCUCACACAGAGAGUGGAGCAGGCUAAACAGCAGCAGUCUGGCAAACGGGGGUGAUUCAGACGAGCAGAUGAACACAGUUAUGCAUGGACAAAUCCCAUGUUUGCUGGGUAGGUUUGACCAGCCAGCUGCCUGCAUGAUGAUGUGAGCCUUUAAUGUUCAUCCAAACUUGUUUUUUUUAAUCAACUUUGAAAGUUUUUUCUAGUGAAUAUCUAUCUAUUAGCUAUUAUUAUCUAAUAAUAUAAUAUUAUUAUAUAAUAUUAUUUAAUAAUAUUGAAACUAUGAUACAUCCUGUGAAAAAAGAUGCUGCAGUUAUUUUAAAAAAUGCUUUAAUUAGUUUCAAAUGAGAUUUUUGUGUUGAUCUCUCCCACACUCAUGAAGUUAUGAGGCCUCAGAAAUACUAAAAUCAUAAAUCAAACUUUAAGUCGGCCUUUUUAUUUACAGCAAGGUUUAUGAUAAGAAUGUAAAAAUGUGCUUGGCUGCAUUAUAUGGAUCAUAAUGUAUGUAAAUUUAGUGAAGUCUACCAAACAAGAGAGCAGCUGGUUCAAGUCCAGCCCUGAAUAAUAUUUCUUGAACUUGUGGCAACAUUUAGUAUAAGUCAACAGAACCGGCUCUGAGCUGCUUAUAUUUAAUUUUAAUUUCAAAUCAAAGCCACAUAAAACAUUUUAGACACUUGAGAUUAAAAGUGUUUGUCACGCCCUGCUCUGACUGAGCUCUUUGUAGAGGUUAGGUCACAAGUUGGCCUAAUUUUGGUACAUUAUAACAGUGCGUGCAAAAUAGCAUACCGCAAGGUACUUUCUAUAGUACAGGAAAUCUGUGGUCUACCAGUUCUAAAGCGAGGUUGAAAACUGCUCAUGGUUAUCACACUGUGCUUGAGCCGUGUGCAAAUUCCCUGCUGACUCGGCCUCAGGAUGUCUAGAGGCAAGAAUCAAGCGCACCCAAAUGAGCGCAUCAGUGGUCAUGUGCACAUCACGCAGAGGGAGAGUGAGAGAGGAAAGGCACAGCAGCAGAGCAUGGCAGUUGUAACGCAGUUUGUGUGAUUCCGUGUGCGUUAAUGAAACUUUUCCAGACAACCAUGCUUAUAGUCACCUAUUCUGCAUCUGCCACAAUUAUAAGUGCAUGUCUGGCUGCAUCACAGUUGGAUUUAUCAUGCCAGGCCCUGCUGUAACCAGUUCUUCUGUGAAGCUUAAUUAAAGACAGUGAACUAAACUCCUGGACUGCUGCAGUCUUUCUGACCGAAGACUUAGGCCAGACUUGUAUACCCAGCACUCAACAUUAAGCGUUACAUUUCUAAUCCAUAUCUGUAUGCCAGAUUGAAGGUGUGUUUCAGCCUGUUAAGUUGUUAUCAGGCUGAAAUUGUUUGUAUCGUUAUCAUUUUCAGCACAGUUGAUCUUAAACCUUCCAGACAGUCCCUGGAACGUCCUGCAUGUGUGGAGCUCUCAACCCCCUCCACCAAUGUUUAACUUACAGAGCAUCUGAUAGGAUUUAAUAUUUAUUCAAAGCUCCAUUAUUAGUUAAAAUAAACUUGUAUAGCAGGUUGUUUAAAGAAGGAUAAUCAGAACCAAGAUGGUGAAACUUGGAGAAGGUGUUUUGAGCACAGUUUACAUGUGUUUCUUAUGAGAUGUCCAUGUAAAUCUCCCCCACAUUUGUGAAGUUACAAGAGGUGACGUGAUGAUGAUGCUCAUCUUCAUUUCCAACUGUGUGGGUGAUGGAGGCUGAGGAUUGUGUGGAUGAUCAGGAGCUUCACUCUCAAUCCUGACCUCCUCCUUCUGCUUCAGUGGUUUCUGGCUUCAUAACUUGGUCACCAUGGCGACCAUCUGGAUGACUGAGGUCCCUGAUUUGACUUUCUGAGAAUCAGGCUGGUGCUGAACAUCAGGCUGUUAACUGCAGAGCAUCAGACCUUAUCUGUGGAUCCUCCCGACGGUUUCUCUCCCAACUCCUGGAGUUGGAGGACAUGGAUUCAUGGAGGACUUCAGCUUCUUGCAGCUGCUCCUGCUGAUAGAUGUCAUUGCUGUCUUCUCCCUCUGCACUGGCUGCUACGUCUUCUUUGUUUCUGCUUUUCUCUUUGUCAUGACUGUGAAUCAGGCAGCUGUGCUGAAAAUAUGAUUGUUCUCCUUAUAAUAAAAGCUGGAAGCUGAAAAUCCUGCCUGUGCUGAGACAUUUUUUCAUGCAUGAUCUUCACAGCAAAAACAAACACAGGACAAAGGAAACUGUGGGUGAUGUCAUCUUUAGUUCAUAGAAAAAUAUAUAAAAAUAUUAAAGACACCACAUUCAUUUUAAGAGCCAAUCACAAAAUGAGUGUAGAUCAUUGAACCAAACAGCCCAGAAUGUGUUAUUAUUAUUAGUAUUCUUAAUAUUACUUAUCAGUAAUAUGGACAGUUGAAUGUUUUGGCACCUGCAUUAUUCUCAUUUUCAUUGUCAGACAUUAUCAGUUCUGUUGUUGGCUGAUUGUUGUAAACUUGUUAUAACAGAAGGGAGAUCGUUCUGGGCAGCAGAAAUGAGGAAACGUGAAAAAUGUGAAGAAACUGUUGACAGUAAUUUAUUAAAG